UACGUAGGGGGCAAGCGUUGUCCGGAAUCAUUGGGCGUAAAGAGCGUGUAGGCGGUCCGGUAAGUCGGCUGUGAAAGUCCAGGGCUCAACCCUGGGAUGCCGGUCGAUACUGCCGGACUAGAGUUCGGAAGAGGAGAGUGGAAUUCCCGGUGUAGCGGUGAAAUGCGCAGAUAUCGGGAAGAACACCCGUGGCGAAGGCGGCUCUCUGGGACGGUACUGACGCUGAGACGCGAAAGCGUGGGGAGCGAACAGG
rnacentral:rRNA from 1 species